GUAGUUUCGCAACCCUUAAAGUAAGUUUCAUAUGUUGCCCACCCUCGGGCCUACCAUAUUUUAGCCAAUUCGUUGGAGUUCAUUCUUCAAUGACAUUGACAAUCAAUCACUACCAAAAAAGAGGAGAGAACGUUUUUACAAAAGUUUUUAUUUGAAUAACAAAAUCAUGGUUGAAAUGGUUGACGAAGUCACGAAGGGAAGAGACUUCACCCUUCUUACGUGUUCCAAUUCUCAAUAAAUAAAUAAAUUGAUAUUUUUAUUAAGUCUUUGUCAAUGAUGUCUUCACCAUAUUUUGGGACAAGUUAGACUUUCAUAUUUAUUCUCACUCUAAGCAAAAAUAAAUAAAAGAUUACACAAAUGGUAGGAUCCAAAAUAAAAUAAUAAAACAGAUACAUAAAAUCAUGAAGAAGAUGUACAAAAUCAGUGCAUAAUGAUAAGGAUUAACUCUUAUCAAUAUUUUUAAAAUAAAGAAUAAUUAAAUAUUAAUAAUAUUUGAUUCUUUUAAUUUGAAAGAUAAUAUUUAUUUUUCUUAAUUCUCGUUAAUUUUAGAAUAUUUUUUAUUAAUUUUUAUGUAUAAUUUAUAAUAUAUUCUUGUAUAAAGUUUUUUUUUUAAAAAAAAUAUUUUUAUUUUCAAAUUAUCAUACCCUUUUUUUUUUUGUGAGAAAUUGUUGCUAUCCUGAAACUUUUUAUUAUUAUUUACAUAUAAUCUCUUAUCUAUAUUUUCAACCACCAAAUUCACCUCAAUCCUUUUUGUUUUUCUAGAAAAUUAAAAAAGAGAAAAUAGAACUUCAUUACCUGAAAAUACCAGCAUAUCACAUUCCCAAUCCCCCCUAAAGCAUCUUUAGAAAAUUGGCCAACUUUAACAAAGUAGGGAUUACCUUUUUCUUUUUCUUUUUUAUACGCCAUAAAAUGAGCUUGCUUUGUCGCUUUCAAUCCUUUUCCUUCCUCCACUUCCUCUCAUUUUCCUUUUUAAUGACUUUCAUAGCAGCCGCCCAUCCCAUUUUCUCAUCCGCGUGAAAGGAUGGACCAUCGGCAUUCACACAGCGACUUCGCUUGUCUAUAUCCUAUUGACUUUUAAGUCAACAAAAAGACGGGUAGAAGCUACUCUACUCAUUUUAUAAAAAUUCCAUUCCAGAAUAAUGGUUAAAAAUUCCCAUUUUCAACUUAUUUUUUAAAACUCCAAUUCCUAAAUUUAAUUCUCAAAUAUUUUUAAAAUUUUAAUUUCUUUCAAAUUUAAUUUUCAAAACUCCAAUUCUUAAAUUUAAUUUUCAAAAUUUCAACUCUCAAUUAUUUUUCAAAACUCUAAUUUCUUUCAAAUUUAAUUUCCAAAAUUCUAAUUCUCAAAUAAUCUUCAAAAUUCCAAUUUUUUUCAAAUUUAACUUCCAAAAUUCCAAAUCUUAAAUUUAAUUUUCAAAACUCCACUUUUCAAAUAAUUUUCGAGAUUCCAAUUUUCAAAUAUUUUUUUAUUUCAUUCUUUAAAUGUAAUUUUUAAAAGAUUUCAAUUUUCAAAGCUCCAAUUUUAUUUCAAAUAGUUUUAAUUUCGCGCCAUUUUUAAAAUAUUUUUUAAAUCAUAAAUUUUCUUUAAUUUUUAAAUAAUCUUUUGUUUUCCUUGAUUUUUAUUUUAAUAAGCAUGAUUGAAUUUUUCAUAAUUCCAAAAUAAUGGAAUUUGUGAGAUUAAUUCAUGCAAAAUCAAUUAGGCUUUGGUGAUGCCUCACAUAUGAAUUUUCUCUUAUGAUUGUCUAUUGUUAUGUUUAAUGAAUUUUGCUUGAUCUUUGUCCUACUCUUUGAUAUGCAUGUGAUGAUAUAACCCCGUUUCCAUGAUAGCGCACUAUUGCAAUCAAGGUACGCUCCCACUCCCACUUUGCUUACUCUUACGCGUGAUUUGUUUUAUUAUUUGAUCAUUUCAUUGGUAUCUAUUGAUUUCCUUAUCAAUUGUGUCAUGAUUGUCUCGCCUUAUUUAGUAGAGACACAUUUCUAAGAGUUUAGAGGGGUGCUACGGUUUUUACCGUACCUUCUCAAUAAGUAAUUUGACCUCUGAACUCAGACUUGAUUUUUCACGAGCCACAUUUUUUAAAUAAGAAGUCACACUUAAGAUUUUUUUUCUUAUUUUGUUUAUCCUUAAAAAAUAAAAUAAAAAUAAGUGGCGACUCCAAGUCAUUUUCUAAAAUAAGGAGUCACACUCAGAGUUUUCUUCUUUAUUUUGUUUACCCUUUAAAAAUAAAACAAAAAUAAGGGACGACUUUAAGUCAUUUUAUAAAAAAAUAAAUCUUUUUCAAAAUAAAAAGCUAGUUUUCCAAAUAGAGGGUCCACACCAUUAUAAUUUUUCAAAUAUUUUUAUCCUAUUAUAUUUUAUUCUACUUUUUUUUUUUUUUUCUAAUUUUCUAUUUUUAAAAUUUUUUAUUAAGGAAAAAAAAAAAAGACACAAAAUGACAAUGCUCAAAAGAGAAUAAUGAAUGAGAUGCACAAAAUCAAACGAAUAAUGAUAGGAAUCAAUUAUAGGAUAUUUAUUAUUCGUUUCUGUGUAUAAUUUACCAAACAUUCUUAUAUAAAUUUUUUAAAAAAGAAUUACCAUAAUCAAUUAUCAAACAUUUCCUACAUUUCAUAGUAUCAUAGGUAGAUAAUAUCAAAAGGUAGGAGAGGAUUGACAUACUCUCACCAACCAUGUCUUCCUCUUGAAAAAAAAGGUAAUAACAUUACUAUCCAAGUCUUCCAUUAAUGUUCUAGGUUGAUUCAAUUAAACUAAUUAUAAAUCAAGACAAAGUACACCAAUUUGCUUAUGACUUUAGUUAAAUGUAUUUUUUUUUUUUCAUUUAUUAUGCUUACUAUGAUGGGGGAGCCAAACAGUACCCAAAAUUUUGAGAAAACUAACUUACUACCACUAGGUUAUAUAAGUAGUUUGUUGUAGUUUUGCAACCCUUGAAGUAAGUUUCAUAUGUUGCCCACCCCCGGGCCUACCAUUUUUUAGCCAAUUCGUUGGAGUUCAUUCUUCAAUGACAUUGACAAUCAAUCACUACCAAAAAGGAGGAACACGCAAAAGUUUUUAUUUGAAUAACAAAAUCAUGGUUGAAAUGGUUGACGAAGGGAAGAGACUUCACCCUUCUUACGUGUUCCAAUUCUCAAUAAAUAAAUAAAUUGAUAUUUUUAUUAAGUCUCUGUCAAUGAUGUUUUCACCAUAUUUUGGGACAAGUUAGACAUUCAUAUUUAUUCUCACUCUAAGCAUGAAGUGGUAUAUUAAGCAAAAAAUAAAAAUAAAAGAUGACAAAAAUGGUAGGAUCCAAAAUGAAAUAAUAAAACAGAUACACAAAAUCAGUGCAUAAUGAUAAGAAUU
rnacentral:lncRNA from 1 species